rnacentral:lncRNA from 1 species
GAUGUUCUGGAAAUUAAGGAGGAGGGUGUCCUCAAGUUCCUUGCAGCAGGAAGCCACUUAGGUAGCACCAACCUUGACUUCCAAAUGGAACAGCACAUCUAUAAAAGGAAAAGUAAUGGCAUCGACAUCAUAAAUCUGGAGAAGCUUCUAUUGGCAGCUUGUGCUAUUGAAAACCCUGCUGAUGUCAGCAUCAUCCUCCAGGAAUACUAGCUGGUUGGCUGUGCUGAAGUUUGCUGCUGCCAUUGGAGCCACUCCUAUUGCUGGCUGUUUCAUUCCUGGAACUUACACUAACCAGAUCCAGACAGCCUCCUGGGGGCCAUGUCUUCUGGUGGUUACUGGUCCCAGGGCUGACCACUGGCCUCCUACAUAGGCCUUUUAUGUUAACCUGCCUACCAUAGCUCUGUGUAACACAGAUUCUCCUCUGCACUGUAUGGACAUUGCCAUUACAUGCAACAAGAAGAGAGCUCAUUCAGUGGGUCUGAUGUGGUGGAGGCUGGCCUGGGAAGUUCUGAGCAUGCGUGGCACCAUCUCCAUUGGACACCCAAGGGAGGUUAUACCUGAUCUCUAAUUCUAUAGAGAUCCUGAAGAGAUUGAGAAGGAAGAUUGAGAAGGAAGAGCUGCUGAAAAAGCUGUGAUCAAGAAGGAACUUCAGAGUAAAUAGACUGCUCCACCUCCUGUAUUCACCGCUGCUCAGCCUGAAGUUGCACACUGGUCUGAAGGCAUGCAGGUGCCCUCUGUGCCUGUUUAGCAGGUUCCUACUGAAGACUGGAGUGCUCAGCCUUCCACAAAAGACUGGUAGGCAGCUCCCACUGCACAGGCCACUAAAUGGGUAGGAACAACCACUGAGUGGG